rnacentral:lncRNA from 1 species
GACUAUGAAGAUCCCAGGACGUGGGAAGGUUUCCCCCGCCCCCGAGUGCAGAUGUUGCUGCUAACGUUCAGCCCUGACGCCAUGUCCAAUAGGAACGGCCCUUCACUCUCAGAAACGCGGGCCGGAGAAACCGUGGAGGUCUUUUGCACCUUGCCGUUUGCCUCCCAGGUUCAACAUGAUAGGAUGUGGAUUAUCAGGGCCUGGGAACAGUGUAAAGGAACGCGCAGGUCCCCACCCUAAGCGCGUACGCGGGGCCUCGCUUUAGAAAAUAAAUGAAUUCUAC